rnacentral:rRNA from 1 species
AUUGAACGCUGGCGGCAGGCCUAACACAUGCAAGUCGAGCGAGCGUCGGACGGGUGAGUAAUGUAUGGGGACUCCCCGAUAGGGAGGGAUAACUACUGGAAACGGUAGCUAAUACCGCCUACUCUCGGAUACCCCAUAUGGGAUUAGCUAGUAGGUGUGGUAAUGGCUCACCUAGGCGACGAUCCCGAGCUGGUCUGAGAGGAUGAUCAGCAACACUGGAACUGAGACACGGCCCAGACUCCUACGGAGGCAGCAGUGGGGAAUAUUGCACAAUGGGCGCAAGCCUGAUGCAGCCAUGCCGCGUGUAUGAAGAAGGCCCUAGGGUUGUAAAGUACUUUCAGUCGGGAGGCGUUACCGACAGAAGAAGCACCGGCUAACUCCGUGCCAGCAGCCGCGGUAAUUC